AUGAUGGGUGAAAAAGUUGAGAAGACAGAUACUAAGGAGAAGAAACCCAAAGCCAAGAAGGCUGAUGCUGGUGGCAAUCUCAAAAAGGGUAACCUCAAGGCUAAAAAGCCCAAGAAGGGGGAGCCCCACUGCAGCUGCAAUCCUGUCCUUGUCAGAAGAAUUGGCAGGUAUUCGCGAUCUGUCAUGUAUUCCAGAAAGCCCAUAUACAAGAGGAAUUACUCAGCUGUUAAAUCCAAGGUUGAAAGGAAAAAGAAGGUUCUUGCAACUGUUACAAAACCAGUUCCUGGUGGUGACAGGAAUGGCAGUACCUGGGUGGUUAAACUUCACAAAAUGCCUACGUAUUAUCUUACUGAAGAUGUGCCUCGAAAGCUGUUGACCAGAGCAAAAAACCCUUCAGUCAGCAUGUGAGAAAACUGGGAGCCAGCAUUACCCCUGGGACCAUUCUGAUCAUCCUCACCGGAUGCUGGUAAGAGGGUAAUUUUCCUGAAGCAGCUGGCUAGUGGCUUGUUACUCGUGACUGGACCUCUGGUCCUCAAUUGAAUUCCUCUACAAAGAACACACCAGAAAUUUGUCAUUGCCACCUCAAAUUUUGAUACCAAAAUUGAUAUCAGAGAUGUAAAAAUCCCAAAACAUCUCACUGAUGCUUACUUCAAGAAGAAAAACCUGCAGAAGCCCAAACAUCAGGAAGGUGAGAUCUUCCACACAGAAAAAGAGAAAUAUGAGAUUACAGAGCAGCACAAGAUUGAUCAGAAAGCUGUGGACUCACAAAUUUUACCAAAAAUCAAACCUCAGCUCCUGGGCUACCUGCAGUCUGUAUUUGCCCUGAUGAAUGGAAUUUGUCCUCACAAAUUGGUGUUCUAAAUGUCUUAAGAACCUAACUAAAUAGCUGACUACAAAAAAAAAAAAAAAAAAAAAAAAAAAAAAAAAAAAAAACUACAAA